rnacentral:rRNA from 1 species
UACGUAGGGACCAAGCGUUGUUCGGAUUUACUGGGCGUAAAGGGCGCGUAGGCGGUGUGUCAAGUCAGUUGUGAAAUCUCCGAGCUUAACUCGGAACGGUCAACUGAUACUGUCAUACUAGAGUACAGAAGGGGCAAUCGGAAUUCUUGGUGUAGCGGUGAAAUGCGUAGAUAUCAAGAGGAACACCUGAGGUGAAGACGGGUUGCUGGGCUGAUACUGACGCUGAGGCACGACAGCGUGGGGAGCAAACAGG